UCAGGAUGAACGCUGGCGGCGUGCCUAAUACAUGCAAGUCGAGCGAACGGACGAGAAGCUUGCUUCUCUGAUGUUAGCGGCGGACGGGUGAGUAACACGUGGAUAACCUACCUAUAAGACUGGGAUAACUUCGGGAAACCGGAGCUAAUACCGGAUAAUAUUUUGAACCGCAUGGUUCAAAAGUGAAAGACGGUCUUGCUGUCACUUAUAGAUGGAUCCGCGCUGCAUUAGCUAGUUGGUAAGGUAACGGCUUACCAAGGCAACGAUGCAUAGCCGACCUGAGAGGGUGAUCGGCCACACUGGAACUGAGACACGGUCCAGACUCCUACGGGAGGCAGCAGUAGGGAAUCUUCCGCAAUGGGCGAAAGCCUGACGGAGCAACGCCGCGUGAGUGAUGAAGGUCUUCGGAUCGUAAAACUCUGUUAUUAGGGAAGAACAUAUGUGUAAGUAACUGUGCACAUCUUGACGGUACCNAAUCAGAAAGCCACGGCUAACUACGU
rnacentral:rRNA from 1 species